rnacentral:rRNA from 1 species
GACGAACGCUGGCGGCGUGCUUAACACAUGCAAGUCGAACGAUGAAGCCCAGCUUGCUGGGUGGAAGAGUGGCGAACGGGUGAGUAACACGUGAGUAACCUGCCCUGAACUCUGGGAUAAGCACUGGAAACGGUGUCUAAUACUGGAUACGACCUAUCACCGCAUGGUGUGUGGGUGGAAAGAUUUAUCGGUUCUGGAUGGACUCGCGGCCUAUCAGCUAGAUGGUGAGGUAAUGGCUCACCAUGGCGACGACGGGUAGCCGGCCUGAGAGGGUGACCGGCCACACUGGGACUGAGACACGGCCCAGCCUCCUACGGGAGGCAGCAGUGGGGAAUAUUGCACAAUGGGCGCAAGCCUGAUGCAGCAACGCCGCGUGAGGGAUGACGGCCUUCGGGUUGUAAACCUCUUUUAGUAGGGAAGAAGCGAAAGUGACGGUACCUGCAGAAAAAGCACCGGCUAACUACGUG